CUGUGUAGCACUAGGGCAAAAACUAAAACGUGCAUCAUUGGGAAGACCAAGGGCUGAGUUUGGGAAACCCUGUGCUGUGGUAAUCAUCAUGUGAAAUCCGAGCUGGAAGGACACCGGGUGUGCGUCAUUUGUCACAGCCCUGCACACUUAUUCAUUCAUCAUACACACCUGAUUCCGCUAACGAAGGUUCGGUAUUGGUCAUCAAAGUGUUUCUGCUGUGCCUCACUGCCUCUGUUGGGGGGGGUCAAACUUGAUUCUGAGGACUGACGACUUGAAGGGAAACAAGGACGACGGAACAAAGCCAGUGCUGGAAACGGACUGGAGU
rnacentral:lncRNA from 1 species